UUCCAUUAAAAUAAAUAGUAGGUGGAUGAAACAUUGGUCAAAGGUUAGCAGCAAAACUGAUUUGAUUGCAUUAGUAUUUUUUCUGUAAUGUCAGAUACUCCAUCUGGUCACCCUUGUGGACAAAAAUGUACACGCACAC